rnacentral:lncRNA from 1 species
CCAAAUUUGGCCCAACAAGCCCAUGCCCUAUCCUCCUUUUUGGCAGCCCUCCCAUUUCCCCCUUCCAGUCGAAAAUUAGUGCCCUUUUGGGGCUGUGACCCCUGCGCUUCUUCUCCCCCAUGAACCUCUUCACCUUCCUUCUCUAGAUCCUUCUAUGGUAGGCUAUUUAAAGAGCCCUUGGUCUGUGGCUGUAGAAUAGACGAAAAUUGCUUAGUGUUCUUCCUUUGUGUGGAGGUGCUACCGGUGAAGGUGUAAGGCUUGUUGGCCGAUUGUGGUGCCGGCGAGAGCAACGUCCCCUUUGUGAUUCUUCGUGGCUUAGUGUGUGCGUGAUCGAGAGGAAGAGAGCUGUACCUGAGCCGAGAAGAUCGACGCCCCUUGUUCCUCUCUUUGUGUGUUUUUUCUUGCAGGUUGUCUAGGCUGCUGCUACCUCGUUGCUGCGCCGCUGUUGCUGCUGCGUUGUUGCCGGAGGACAGCCGCCGCUGCUGCUGUCCCUGCCGCCGCCGUCCCUGCUGCUGUUCCGCCGCUGUGUUGCCGCUGCUUUGCUGCCCCGGAGAAGGAAGCCUUCAACACGACGACGGGGUCGAUACUCAACAGUGGUAUCAGAGCCACGGUUGACCUCGUCGCGCAUUGGUAGGUCGGGGUCCUGACCUUAGGAUCCCGCUCUGGUAAAGCGGUUUAAACCUCUCUUGUUUUUCAAUUUCUAGUUGCUGCCUUCUGGUGCAGUUUAGGCUUGGUGCUUAUCUGCUGGUAGAUAUCUAGGAUUCGUGUGUCGAAUUCUUUUUUCUGUUUUAAUUUUUUUUUCGCUGUUACUAUUCACGUGAAUAGUGAUUUCGUCGAAUAGUGUUUUUGGUCUCUUAUUUUUUACUUCCGCUGUAAACUCUGUGGUUGUCAAUCUUUGUGAGUCUUUGUGAUUAUUUGCUUCGUGUUGCGAUGUCUUCUUUGGCAAAUUAUGGUUUAGCUCCUUUUAAUGGUAAAACGGACUUCGGUUUUUGGCAGCAGAAAAUGGAAUGUAUUUUAAUUCAACAAAAUGUUUAUCAAGUAAUUGAUGAUUCGUAUGAUGAAGAUGUUGAUGAGAAAAAGAAAACUCAAUUGAAUCGUCUUGCCUUGUCUGCUAUUGUUCUCAACUUGUCUGAGUGUGUUCUUAGAAAAGUAGGGAGAAUGACUUCUGCUAAAGAACUAUGGUCUAAGUUAGAGGAGUUGUACACUGGAACCUCGUUGCCGUCUAAGAUAUUUUUGAUUGAAAGGUUUUUCCGUUUCAAACUUGAUUUGAAUAAGAAAAUUGAUGAAAAUGUUGAUGAAUUCACUAAGUUAGUUCAAGAUAUAAAACUGACGGGUGAUAAACAUAUUGAUGAGUAUGCUCCGUAUGCUCUUUUAAAUGCUAUUCCUGACUCUUACAGUGAUGUUAAAUCUGCUAUUAAGUAUGGUAGAGAUAAUGUGACGCUUGACACUGUUGUGAGUGCUUUAAAGAAUAAGGAAUUAGAUUUAAAUUCUAAUAUUUGUGUCCAAGAAUCGGACAAAGUCAUGCAUGUUAGGGGUGAAAAGAGAUUUAAUGAUAAGUCUAAUCAUAGAUAUAAGCCUAGGAAGUGCUAUAACUGUGGUGAAACUGGUCACUAUAUUAAGGAUUGUCCUCACCCUAAGAAAAAACAAGAUGUAGAGCAUGCUAAUGUAAUUGUUAAUGAAACCAAUAGUGAUGUGUUCUAAGGUGGAGCUCUUUCUUAAUGCCUUAGUGUUGUUCUUUGUGAUUGUUUAGGCUUUGUGGCUUUGUGAGACUUCGUUGGUUAGUGCCUUAAUGACUAUGUGAGUCUUUGUGGCUUAGUGUCUUUGUGAUUGAUUAGUAGCUUUGUGUCUAUGUGGCUUUGUGAGUUUUACUUUGUGAUGACCGUUUGUGUCGCAUGUUAUCUUCGUGAUCAUGUGUACUUUGUGAUCUGUGCUAGCUCUUUGUGGCCCUUUGUGCUAGACUAACUUUGUGUUAGUGUGCUUCGUGCUUGGUGGUUGUCUUUCUCUUGUUUGUGUUUUGCAGGAAUUGACUUGGUUAGUUUACCCGUUGACCUUUGUGGUCUUGUGUUUCCCUGUUAUUUCUUUGUGAUUUAACAGGGGGCUCGGCGAUGAUGAUUAUGGUACAGCUUCCUCUUUGAUGCACACAAUACCGUGAUUGGGCCAAAGGUGGAGAUGUUGUUAGUUGGCCCAAUUUUGGCCCAACAAGCCCAUGCCCCUAUCCUCCUUAUUUUGGCAGCCCUCUCAUUUCCCCCCUUCCAGUCGAAAAUUAGUGCCCUUUUGGGCUGUGACCCUGCGCUUCUUCUCCCCCAUGAACCUCUUCACCUUCCUUCUCUAGAUCCUUCUUUGGUAGGCUAUUUAAAGAGCCCUUGGUCUGUGGCUGUAGUAGGAGACGAAAAUUGCUUAGUGUUCUUCCUUUGUGUGGAGGUGCUACCGGUGAAGGUGUAAGGCUUGUUGGCCGAUUGUGGUGCCGGCGAGAGCAACGUCCCCUUUGUGAUUCUUCGUGGCUUAGUGUGUGCGUGAUCGAGAGGAGAGAGCUGUACCUGAGCCGAGAAGAUCGACGCCCCUUGUUCCUCUCUUUGUGUGUUUUUCCUUGCAGGUUGUCGAGGCUGCUGCUACCNGCUAGUGCAUCCUGCAUAGCACUUCCAGCCAUGCAUGAUGCCUUCCAUGUGCAUUAUGAAGGUAUCAACCUUUGUUGUGUAUAGUGAAAACAAACAAUGAAUGGGCAAAACAAGUGUUCAUGCCGGGAAUGUUAUAUAAAUGGUAUCCCUUGCAGGCAUGCUUGCGCUGCCAUCAGAUUCAUGGAUCGUGAUCCCACUGAUUUUGUUUCUGGUUACUUCACUAUGGCUACCUAUCUUUCGGGGUAUGAAUUUGGUAUCAAACCUAUGUUGGGAACAAGAUGUGGCCUGAAGUGAAGAGCGAUGUUGUUAAUCUACCACCUAAAACAAGAAUGGCUGGAUGUCCUAAGAAAAAAAGGGUUCGAGCACCUCAGGAGAAGGAAGGGAGGAUGACCAGACAUGUAGUUGUGAUGUCGUGCAGCAAGUGCAAGCAGACAGAACAUAACAAAAGAAAUGCUCUAAUCCAGCCAUGGAAAACCAUACAAGGUACACCACCAUCUGUCGAUAUAGUACGAGACGAAAAUUGCUUAGUGUUCUUCCUUUGUGUGGAGGUGCUACCGGUGAAGGUGUAAGGCUUGUUGGCCGAUUGUGGUGCCGGCGAGAGCAACGUCCCCUUUGUGAUUCUUCGUGGCUUAGUGUGUGCGUGAUCGAGAGGAAGAGAGCUGUACCUGAGCCGAGAAGAUCGACGCCCCUUGUUCCUCUCUUUGUUGUGUUUUCCUUGUCAGGUUGUCGAGGCUGCUGCUACCUCGUUGCUGCGCCGCUGUGCAGCUGCUGUUUUGCGGCUUUGUAGCUGCGCUGUGGCUGCCCAAAGUCGAAGGAAGCCUUCAACAACGACGACGAGGGUCGAUACUCAACAGUGGUAUCAGAGCCACGGUUGACCUCGUCGUCGCAUUGGUAAGUCGGGGUCCUGACCUUAGGAUCCCGCUCUGGUAAAGCGGCUUAAACCUCUCUUGUUUUUCAAUUUCUAGUUGCUGCCAUCUGGUGCAGUUUAGGCUUGGUGCUUAUCUGCUGGUAGAUAUCUAGGAUUCGUGUGUCGAAUUCUGUUUUCUGAUUUAAUUAUUUUUUCGCUGUUACUAUUCACGUGAAUAGUGAUUUCGUGAAUAGUGUUUUUGGUCUCUUAUUUUUUUCCGCUGUAAACUCUGUGGUUGUCAAUCUUUGUGAGUCUUUGUGAUUAUUUGCUUCGUGUUGCGAUGUCUUCUUUGGUCAAAUUUAUGGUUUAGCUCCUUUUAAUGGUAAAACGGACUUCGGUUUUUGGCAGCAGAAAAUGGAAUGUAUUUUAAUUCAACAAAAUGUUUAUCAAGUAAUUGAUGAUUCGUAUGAUGAAGAUGUUGAUGAGAAAAAGAAAACUCAAUUGAAUCGUCUUGCCUUGUCUGCUAUUGUUCUCAACUUGUCUGAGUGUGUUCUUAGAAAAGUAGGGAGAAUGACUUCUGCUAAAGAACUAUGGUCUAAGUUAGAGGAGUUGUACACUGGAACCUCGUUGCCGUCUAAGAUAUUUUUGAUUGAAAGGUUUUUCCGUUUCAAACUUGAUUUGAAUAAGAAAAUUGAUGAAAAUGUUGAUGAAUUCACUAAGUUAGUUCAAGAUAUAAAACUGACGGGUGAUAAACAUAUUGAUGAGUAUGCUCCGUAUGCUCUUUUAAAUGCUAUUCCUGACUCUUACAGUGAUGUUAAAUCUGCUAUUAAGUAUGGUAGAGAUAAUGUGACGCUUGACACUGUUGUGAGUGCUUUAAAGAAUAAGGAAUUAGAUUUAAAUUCUAAUAUUUGUGUUCAAGAACCGGACAAAGUCAUGCAUGUUAGGGGUGAAAAGAGAUUUAAUGAUAAGUCUAAUCAUAGAUAUAAGCCUAGGAAGUGCUAUAACUGUGGUGAAACUGGUCACUAUAUUAAGGAUUGUCCUCACCCUAAGAAAAACAAGAUGUAGAGCAUGCUAAUGUAAUUGGUAAUGAAACCAAUAGUGAUGUGUUCUAAGGUGGAGCUCUUUCUUAAUGCCUUAGUGUUGUUCUUUGUGAUUGUUUAGGCUUUGUGGCUUUGUGAGACUUCGUUGGUUAGUGCCUUAAUGACUAUGUGAGUCUUUGUGGCUUAGUGUCUUUGUGAUUGAUUAGUAGCUUUGUGUCUAUGUGGCUUUGUGAGUUUUACUUUGUGAUGACCGUUUGUGUCGCAUGUUAUCUUCGUGAUCAUGUGUACUUUGUGAUCUGUGCUAGCUCUUUGUGGCCCUUUGUGCUAGACUAACUUUGUGUUAGUGUGCUUCGUGCUUGGUGGUUGUCUUUCUCUUGUUUGUGUUUUGCAGGAAUUGACUUGGUUAGUUUACCCGUUGACCUUUGUGGUCUUGUGUUUCCCUGUUAUUUCUUUGUGAUUUAACAGGGGGCUCGGCGAUGAUGAUUUUGGUACAGCUUCCUCUUUGAUGCACACAAUACCGUGAUUGGGCCAACGGUGGAGAUGUUGUUAGUUGGCCCAAAUUUGGCCCAACAAGCCCAUGCCCUAUCCUCCUUAUUUUGGCAGCCCUCCCAUUUCCCCCCCUUCCAGUCGAAAAUUAGUGCCCUUUUGGGGCUGUGACCCCUGCGCUUCUUCUCCCCCAUGAACCUCUUCACCUUCCUUCUCUAGAUCCUUCUAUGGUAGGCUAUUUAAAGAUCCCUUGGUCUGUGGCUGUAGUAUAGACGAAAAUUGCUUAGUGUUCUUCCUUUGUGUGGAGGUGCUACCGGUGAAGGUGUAAGGCUUGUUGGCCGAUUGUGGUGCCGGCGAGAGCAACGUCCCCUUUGUGAUUCUCCGUGGCUUAGUGUGUGCGUGAUCGAGAGGAAGAGAGCUGUACCUGAGCCGAGAAGAUCGACGCCCCUUGUUCCUCUCUUUGUGUGUUUUUCCUUGCAGGUUGUCGAGGCUGCUGCUACCUCGUUGCUGCGCCGCUGUUGCUGCUGCGUUGUUGCCGGAGGACAGCCGCCGCUGCUGCUGCCCCUGCCGCCGCCGUCCCUGCUGCUGUUCCGCCGCUGUGUUGCCGCUGCUUUGCUGCCCCGGAGAAG